GACGAACGCUGGCGGCGUGCUUAACACAUGCAAGUCGAACGGAAAGGCCCUGCUUUUGUGGGGUGCUCGAGUGGCGAACGGGUGAGUAACACGUGAGUAACCUGCCCUUGACUUUGGGAUAACUUCAGGAAACUGGGGCUAAUACCGGAUAGGAGCUCCUGCUGCAUGGUGGGGGUUGGAAAGUUUCGGCGGUUGGGGAUGUACUCGCGGCUUAUCAGCUUGUUGGUGGGGUAGUGGCUUACCAAGGCUUUGACGGGUAGCCGGCCUGAGAGGGGGACCGGCCACAUUGGGACUGAGAUACGGACCAGACUCCUACGGGAGGCAGCAGUGGGGAAUAUUGCACAAUGGGCGGAAGCCUGAUGCAGCAACGCCGCGUGCGGGAUGAAGGCCUUCGGGUUGUAAACCGCUUUCGCCUGUGACGAAGCGUGAGUGACGGUAAUGGGUAAAGAAGCACCGGCUAACUACGUG
rnacentral:rRNA from 1 species